rnacentral:rRNA from 1 species
GAUGAACGCUGGCGGCGUGCCUAAUACAUGCAAGUCGAGCGAACAGACGAGGAGCUUGCUCCUCUGACGUUAGCGGCGGACGGGUGAGUAACACGUGGAUAACCUACCUAUAAGACUGGGAUAACUUCGGGAAACCGGAGCUAAUACCGGAUAAUAUAUUGAACCGCAUGGUUCAAUAGUGAAAGACGGUUUUGCUGUCACUUAUAGAUGGAUCCGCGCCGCAUUAGCUAGUUGGUAAGGUAACGGCUUACCAAGGCGACGAUGCGUAGCCGACCUGAGAGGGUGAUCGGCCACACUGGAACUGAGACACGGUCCAGACUCCUACGGGAGGCAGCAGUAGGGAAUCUUCCGCAAUGGCCGAAAGCCUGACGGAGCAACGCCGCGUGAGUGAUGAAGGUCUUCGGAUCGUAAAACUCUGUUAUUAGGGAAGAACAAAUGUGUAAGUAACUAUGCACGUCUUGACGGUACCUAAUCAGAAAGCCACGGCUAACUACGUG